GGCAUUCUCCUUGCCUUGCGUGAGAAUUUUGCAAAACGCUUCGUGAUUUUCUCAGGAAAACAAAGCUGGUAAAAUGCCUAUUUUAUUUUGUAAUCAUUUCUAAAAUUCUCGAUUAGUCCUUCACCCUACAUAAGUACGAUUCAAUUAAUCCUGAAAACGUCCAACAUAAAGCAAGACAGUAUGUCUGUUUGAGAGAGAAACGCUGUUUUUUAAAAUAAAAUCUAUCCCUAUUAUGUGCCCCUGAGUAGUUUUUAGUGAUUCCCGUCAUGUCUCCUUUACUAAUGGAGACAUGUUUAUAAAAGAGCACACAGUAUCCUGCUGAAAAAGAAACUUUCAAACCAGGGAGUGUUACAAAAGUUUGGAAACUAAAAGCCCUGUGAUGAGAGAGUAAAGUUAUAUACAAAGAUCCUUUGUUUUUAGUGACCGGGCUUGACCUCACAUGACUAUAAACAAUAACGGAUAUGUAAUUUGGCAGUGGAAAGUUUCAAUAUCAGCAUUAUUUCUUUUUCUAUAUAAUUUUUUUGGAGUAUUUGACCAUGGCAAAGGGCCAUGAACUUGACUGAUAAGACUGUAGGCAGUAAUGGUUCAGCUAUCCAUUAUACCUCCUUCUAAGAUAGCUGAUUCCUUUUAAUCUAUUUCAUCUUCCUUAUCCUGAAAACAAAUACCAAAUUAAUUAAGACUACAGCAAAUUUCUCCUAGAUAACAUAGCACAUUGCAUAGCUGAAGGAUUUUUUUCCCCUCCCAAAUAUCGUCUUUGUUAAUGUAAUCUUAAAAGAUACAGGUCAUUUUAGUCAUCAAAGCUAUUCCUACCUUUUACCUUACUUGUUACUCACUUUGCUUAAGCACAAGAAAGACUUUUGUUCUAACAGAAAGCAUUACUGGAUUAAAACCAGCAUUGCAGAUAGUACAGAAUGAUUAACUCUUAAACUUGCAAUCACAGCAUUGGUCACCCAUUAAGUUGUUGGAGCAAAAAUAUUUACAAAGUCUUAGCUUUCCAUAGGAAUUUCUUAGCAUUCUUAAUUCAAUGCUGGUCACGGACACCAUUUCAGGCAAGUCUUCUUGAGCCAAGUUGUUUGUCCUUUGAAUUGGAAGAUGACCAUGACAUCAGUUUUGAACACAAGUGGCUGAUCAGGCCAAUUUGUGCUUUGAACUGUUACUCUAUGGCACACUGAGCAAGACAUGCUGCUUUGGGUUGCUUGAUCAACAGCGGACAUGCUGCUGUUUGUGCUUCUGCUCUGCCUUAGCAGUCAUUCUCUGCUCGUAGCCGGUAGCUCCAGUAGGGAUGAGGCUUCGUCCGGUGGAAUGAUUAUGAGCGAGAUCUCAGGGCUUCAGGUCAAUGUUGAAAUGUUUCAGGGCUGACUUGAGGGGGUCAUUGAAGCGUUUCUUCUGACCUCCUUUUGCUUACCAUAAAGGAUCUUCUCUUGCAGUCGCUCAUCUGACAUCCUGCUGACACAGCCUACCCAUCUCAACUGUGAUUUUAUCAACAGCGUGGCUGCUUGGAACACCUGCCCAAGUAAGAACCUCAGUGUCUUGUCUUGCCAUCUUAGCCUCAUCAGUUUCCUCAGACAGCCCGUGUGAAAGUGGCCCAGCUUCAUAGCAUGGCGUUUGUACACCGUCCAGAUGUUGCAUGCAUACAUCAGGAUUGGCAAUGCUUGGUAGGUUGUGUAAAAAUACAAGCUUCCCAAUCCUCUCUGCUUUUACCCUUUCUGGAGACGCCCUGCUAAGAACAAAGACAGAGCUUAUAAACACUCCAUGUAGUUCUUGUCUUUCUUUGUUGAGACCACUUGCAAAGAUCUCAGUCGCUGCUACUAGUAGUUGUGAUCUUUUUUUUUUUUGGUAUGAAUACGUAGAAAAAAAUAGUUAACUGAAACUACCAUACAGGCCACUAAAUAUCUAGGGACAGCAAAUAAUCAUAUUCAUAGUUCCCUUUGACAUCCAAUUGUAAAUCAGUUAAAGAUUGGUGUAUUUAUGAGACUUUGGGCAUAUUAUGGGUAAAUCUGUUUUUUUUAUUAGUUCACAGACAUCCCAAGUUCCAGUAAAUACCUUGUGUUGGACUCCAACUCACUGCAAAGCCCUCCUGCAGGAGGCACCAUAACUGUUUACUCCUCUUUCAGCUGCCUGGCACCUUGGCACAAAAUGCAAAGCUGUCUCUUUUCCUCCAGGGAUACUAUUAUGGAGACUAUAUGAUUAAGAAGCUUAAAGGCUGGAGGCAGUACAGAUCAUUUUGCAAAAAAAUGCACAAGGAUCACAAUCAAUGAAAAUACAUCUGAAGAAAAUCCCAGAUCCUGAAAUGGAUCUCCUCAUUAAUCCUGUAGUGGAUCACCUCUGAGAGAGGUAGCUACAGAGGUUUCCUUGAACACUCCUCUGAAGCAGCUGGGAUGGGCCACGAUGGUGAUCUGUAAUUGGUACGAGAGAAGAUGCUCAACAGAGGUCUGC